ACCACAAAAUUAUCACGUGGAAUCUGACAUGAUUACAAUGUAAACAAAAAUGGCGAAAAUUUUGUGAUAUUUGAAGAAAAAUUUUUAAAUUUUAAACCUAUGAAUGAAUAAAACUCUAAGAACGACUAUUCUUUAUAAGAUGGAGAUUUAAAAAAAAUAAUAACUUCGUGCAUUCUUCUUAACUUCUAUCGGUUGCGAGUUGCUACUAUAGUUAGGUGAUGGCUAAAUGUCGGCUAUUCUUCUCAAUGUUCAAGCGCAUAGCGGAGAAAAUCGAUAAUUCAAUGAAAUUGUUUUAAAAGGAUGACAAGAACCUUACCUCAAGAUUACUCGCUAAAUAUUAAGUCGUAUGAUUGCGUAUAAUAGCAAAAUAUUCGAAAAAUAUAUUAUAUUAUUAUUCUAUUACAUUUUGCUUUUUGUAAAUAUAAAAAUAUCACAAUUUAUUUGGACACUUGUUUUGUUCAAAAAAAAAAUGGUUAUAAUUCUUUAGGAAGAGAAAAAUAAUUAUUUUUUUGAAUACAUUAAAUAUAUUAUAUAGUAUAGAUUAUUGUUUACAGAUUCUCUUUUUUUUGUGUUAAAGGUUAUUU